rnacentral:lncRNA from 1 species
CUCGGCUGUUCGGUGUUAAUUACGUUUGGUGCAGCAGCAGCAGCAGCAGCAGCAGCAGCGGUAGCAGCAGCAGCAGCACCACCACCACCACCAGCACCAGCGGUUGCGGGGAGAAACAAUUUCUUGCCGAAGACGUGAUUGAGGGCAAGUGCUAAGAAGGAGAGAAAGAACAAGGCACCUAUAGAAACACUAAGUUCUACUGGGUGGUGGUUGUUGCCAUGAGGUGGCACAGAAGGAGCAGGCGAUGGUGGAAAAUAUGGCGUGGGAGCUAUCGCCGCUGGAUAAAACGGAAGAGGACUUGGCCUUGGUGGUGCAAGUUUAGGUGGUGGAGGUGGAGGCGGAGGCGGAGGCGGAGGCGGAGGAGAAGCUCCCGGUGGUGGAGGAGGAAAGUGGUUUUUGUGUUGGCAAGGUGAACAAGGAGGAGGAGGAGGGGUGAUUGGCACCUCUGGACAAGGAGGUAGCGCCGGCGGAGAAGAGUAGGAGAGUUUGAUGCUUCUCAAAGAAGGCAUUUUAAAAUUAAUAAUGCAGCCUGGGUUCUGGAGUGAAGUAUGUGUACACUAUAUAUAGAUAAGGAUGGAACAAAUA